CAGGUCUUGACAUCCCACUGACCGGCUUAGAGAUAGGCUUUUCCCUUCGGGGACAGUGGUGACAGGUGGUGUAUGGUUGUCGUCAGCUCGUGUCGUGAGAUGUUGGGUUAAGUCCCGCAACGAGCGCAACCCUUGAUCUUAGUUGCCAGCAUUCAGUUGGGCACUCUAAGGUGACUGCCGGUGAUAAACCGGAGGAAGGUGGGGAUGACGUCAAAUCAUCAUGCCCCUUAUGACCUGGGCUACACACGUGCUACAAUGGACGAUACAAAGGGCUGCAAACCCGCGAGGGGGAGCCAAUCCCAUAAAAUCGUUCUCAGUUCGGAUUGUAGGCUGCAACUCGCCUACAUGAAGCCGGAAUCGCUAGUAAUCGUGGAUCAGCAUGCCACGGUGAAUACGUUCCC
rnacentral:rRNA from 1 species